GGAGGGGUGGCCGAGCGGUUUAAGGCACCGGUCUUGAAAACCGGCAGGGCGGCAACGUCCUCGUGGGUUCGAAUCCCACCCCCUCCGCCA
rnacentral:tRNA from 1 species